GACGAACGCUGGCGGCGUGCUUAACACAUGCAAGUCGAACGAUGAAGCCGGAGCUUGCUCCGGUGAAUUAGUGGCGAACGGGUGAGUAACACGUGAGUAACCUGCCCUUGACUCUGGGAUAACUGCGGGAAACUGUAGCUAAUACCGGAUACGACCCUCGGAGGCAUCUCCUGGGGGUGGAAAGAAUUUCGGUCAAGGAUGGACUCGCGGCCUAUCAGCUAGUUGGUGAGGUAAAGGCUCACCAAGGCGACGACGGGUAGCCGGCCUGAGAGGGUGACCGGCCACACUGGGACUGAGACACGGCCCAGAGUCCUACGGGAGGCAGCAGUGGGGAAUAUUGCACAAUGGGCGCAAGCCUGAUGCAGCAACGCCGCGUGAGGGAUGACGGCCUUCGGGUUGUAAACCUCUUUUAGCAGGGAAGAAGCGAAAGUGACGGUACCUGCAGAAAAAGCACCGGCUAACUACGUGCCAGCAGCCGCCGUAA
rnacentral:rRNA from 1 species